rnacentral:lncRNA from 1 species
CGUCACUCCGAGAAGAGGAGGAAAAUUAAAAAGGAAAGCGACGAACUACAUCAAAAAUAGAUGAAGGACAAACUACAUCAAAGACCUAAGGAACCUCGCCUCAACGAAGAUGGGAAGUUCCUACCAAACACCCCCGGCCUCUAAGAAGGCUUUCGACACAGGUCAAGAAAACAGCGACACCUUCGAGGUAAUGUGGAGUUCGGACCACUAAGCUCGAGCCUACGGCC